rnacentral:rRNA from 1 species
ACUCAAAUGAAUUGACGGGGACCCGCACAAGCGGUGGAGCGUGUUGUUUAAUUCGAUACUAAACGAAGAACCUUACCCAGGCUUGACAUCCUGCUAAGCUUUCCGAAAGGAAAGUGUGCCUUCGGGCCGCAGUGACAGGUGUUGCAUGGCCGUCGUCAGCUCGUGUCGUGAGAUGUUUGGUUAAGUCCAUCAACGAGCGCAACCCUUAUGUUUAGUUGUAUUUUUCUAAACAGACUGCCCUGGUGACAGGGAGGAAGGAGGGGAUGAGGUCAGGUCAGUAUUACCCUUACGUCUGGGGCUACAAACACGCUACAAUGGCCGGUACAAAGGGCAGCCAAAGCGCAAGCUGGAGCAAAUCCCAUCAAAGCCGGUCUCAGUUCGGAUUGGAGGCUGAAACUCGCCUCCAUGAAGCCGGAAUCGCUAGUAACGGUAGGUCAGCUAUACUACCGUGAAUACGUUCCCGGGUCUUGUACACACCGCCCGU